rnacentral:rRNA from 1 species
UCUGGCGGCAGUAGCGCGGUGGUCCCACCUGACCCCAUGCCGAACUCAGAAGUGAAACGCCGUAGCGCCGAUGGUAGUGUGGGGUCUCCCCAUGCGAGAGUAGGNUAGCGCGGUGG